AUACGGAGGGGGUUAGCGUUGUUCGGAAUUACUGGGCGUAAAGCGUACGUAGGCGGAUUAGUAAGUUAGGGGUGAAAUCCCGAGGCUCAACCUCGGAACUGCCUCUAAAACUACUAGUCUUGAGUUCGAGAGAGGUGAGUGGAAUUCCUAGUGUAGAGGUGAAAUUCGUAGAUAUUAGGAGGAACACCAGUGGCGAAGGCGGCUCACUGGCUCGAUACUGACGCUGAGGUACGAAAGUGUGGGGAGCAAACAGGAUUAGAUACCCCAGUAGUCC
rnacentral:rRNA from 1 species